AUAACAACCCGUCGAGCCGCCUUGGCUUGGUCUUGGGGUCCGCCCGCGUUGGCGCGGCGGCCCUUAAAUGCAGUGGCGGUGCCGGUGGUGCUUUCCGCGUAGUCACAUUUCUCGCGCGAGGGCAGGAUCCGGACCCAGCCAGCAAUCUAGUUCGCGGCGCUCUGCGCUGCGACUUCUCUCUGG
rnacentral:misc_RNA from 1 species